UACGGAGGAUGCAAGCGUUAUCCGGUAUGAUUGGGCGUAAAGCGUCCGUAGGUGGUUAAUCAAGUCAGCUGUUAAAGCGUGGAGCUUAACUCCAUAAAGGCAGUUGAGACUGGUUGACUGGAGUGCAGUAGGGGUAGAAGGAAUUCCCUGUGUAGCGGUGAAAUGCGUAGAUAUAGGGAAGAACACCGACGGCGAAAGCAUUCUGCUGGACUGUUACUGACACUGAUGGACGAAAGCCAGGGGAGCGAAAGGG
rnacentral:rRNA from 1 species